rnacentral:rRNA from 1 species
GAUGAACGCUAGCUACAGGCCUAACACAUGCAAGUCGAGGGGAAACGCCAUCGAAAGCUUCCUUUUGAUGUGCGUCGACCGGCGCACGGGUGAGUAACGCGUAUCCCACCUGCCCCUCACUUGGUGACAACCUUGCGAAAGUAAUACUACUACCUAAUGAUAUCUCUAGAAGACAUCUGAAAGAGAUUCAUUAUUUAUCGGUGAUGGAUGGGGAGGCGUCUGAUUAGCUUGUUGGUGGGGUAACGGCCUACCAAGGCAACGAUCAGUAGCGGGUGUGAGAGGGUGAUCAGCCACACUGGAACUGAGACACGGUCCAGACUCAUACGGGAGGCAGAAGUAGGGAAUAGUAAAAAAUGGGCGAAAGCGGGACCCAGAAACGCCGAGUGAGUGAAGAAGGACUUCGGAUUGUAAAGUUAUAUUUUUUUGAAAGAAAAAAAGAAGGGGAAACCGUGGCUGUUUUGACGGUACCCAAAGAAAAAGCAACGGCUAACUUCGUG